GGGAAUAUAGCUCAGUGGUAGAGCACAUGCUUAUCACGCCCAAGGUCCUGGGUUCAAUCCCCAGUACCUCCC
rnacentral:tRNA from 1 species